GGGUAACCUGCCCAUCAGAGGGGGAUAACAUUCGGAAACGGAUGCUAAAACCGCAUAGGUCCUUUAACCGCAUGGUUGAAGGAGGAAAAGAGGCGCAAGCUUCUGCUGAUGGAUGGACCCGCGGUGCAUUAGCUAGUUGGUGAGGUAACGGCUCACCAAGGCCGUGAUGCAUAGCCGACCUGAGAGGGUGAUCGGCCACAUUGGGACUGAGACACGGCCCAA
rnacentral:rRNA from 1 species